rnacentral:rRNA from 1 species
UACAGAGGGGGCAAGCGUUGUUCGGAAUUACUGGGCGUAAAGGGCGCGUAGGCGGCCUGUUAAGUCGAACGUGAAAUCCCCGGGCUCAACCCGGGAACUGCGUCCGAUACUGGCAGGCUUGAAUCCGGGAGAGGGAUGCGGAAUUCCAGGUGUAGCGGUGAAAUGCGUAGAUAUCUGGAGGAAUACCGGUGGCGAAGGCGGCAUCCUGGACCGGCAUUGACGCUGAUGAGCGAAAGCUAGGGGAGCAAACGGG